rnacentral:snRNA from 1 species
GUGCUUACUUUAAGCAGCAACAGAUAAGAACCAGGGAACUACAUAGAGAAGAUCAGCAUGGCCCUUGUGCAAGGAUAAUACACAAAUUCACAAAGCAUGCCAUAUUAAA